CCCCUAGAUGUUCUGGGCCGCACGCGCGCUACACUGAACAGUUCAACAAGUCUUAACCUUGGCCGAUAGGUCUGGGUAAUCUUUGAACGCUGUUCGUGAUUGGGAUAGACCUUUGCAAUUAUGGGUCUUCAACGAGGAAUUCCUAGUAAACGCAAGUCAUCAGCCUGCAUUGAUUACGUCCCUGCCCUUUGUACACACCGCCCGUCGCACCUACCGAUUGAAUGGUCCGGUGAAAUCUCGGGACGGCGGCUUGGUCGCUUGCGUCCGACUGCUGAAACUUGAUUAAACCAUAUCAUUUAGAGGAAGGUGAAGUCGUAACA
rnacentral:rRNA from 1 species